GCAGUCGAACGGUGUAGCAAUACAUAGUGGCGCACGGGUGCGUAACACGUAUGCAACCUACCUUAUACUGAGGGAUAGCCUUUGGAAACGGAGAUUAAUACCUCAUGGGACAUUGACUUGGCAUCGGGUUAAUGUUAAAGAUUUAUUGGUAUAAGAUGGGCAUGCGUCCAAUUAGUUAGUUGGUGAGGUAACGGCUCACCAAGACGAUGAUUGGUAGGGGAACUGAGAGGUUAAUCCCCCACACUGGCACUGAGAUACGGGCCAGACUCCUACGGGAGGCAGCAGUAGGGAAUAUUGGGCAAUGGAGGCAACUCUGACCCAGCCAUGCCGCGUGCAGGAUGAAGGCGUUAUGCGUUGUAAACUGCUUUUAUAUAGGAAGAAAUAGACCUUGCGAGGUAAGUUGACGGCACUAUAUGAAUAAGCACCGGCUAACUCCGUGCCAGCAGCCGCGGUAAUACGGAGGGUGCAAGCGUUGUCCGGAUUUAUUGGGUUUAAAGGGUGCGUAGGCGGUUUAUUAAGUCAGUGGUGAAAGACGGUCGCUCAACGAUUGCAGUGCCAUUGAUACUGGUAGACUUGAGUGGGAUUGAGGUAGCUGGAAUGGAUAGUGUAGCGGUGAAAUGCAUAGAUAUUAUCCAGAACACCAAUUGCGUAGGCAAGUUACUAAGUCUCAACUGACGCUGAGGCACGAAAGUGUGGGUAUCAAACAGGAUUAGAUACCCUGGUAGUCCACACUGUAAACGAUGAUAACCAACUGUUGGCUUUC
rnacentral:rRNA from 1 species